rnacentral:lncRNA from 1 species
CUGUGUUCCUCUCAUAGAUGACGUUUUUAAAAAUAGUCCGUCAUCAAAUAGAUUAGUUGAUCGCUAGGUGGCAUAUUUGUUUAUUUAAGACAGGAACAAUAGAUUAAUUGAACGUUAGGUGGCAUGAAAGUCUGCUAUUUAAAGGACAAUUUGGUCGCUCCUGACACGCCAGUACGAUCUGGCACGUUGUGGCAAACCAUUAUAAAUGAAAAUGUCAAUGUUUGGAACAACUAUGUUAUGAUGUACAAAACAAGCCCACAACUAAAUCCAGCUAAACCGUUUAACUAACAACACUCCACGACCGAUAGAUGGCUUCAGGGAGUAAAAAAACGCACUCAAAAUAAAAAACAAACUAGGAUUCUUUUACGUCCAUUAAUUCUACCAUGCACAUGAAACAGUUCUUCAAAAUCGGUCAGUCAACUUGAACACGUCACGUUUGCGUUUUGGAAAAAUAAAAGGAACCCAUCGUUACCGGAUUGCGUAUGGUGCCAUAGGCAAAACGGAAGAAGUUAGACGGAUUUUAGGGCAGAACGGUCCAGCUGCAACAUUGGAAUCUACUCCAGCUGUUGUUGACUCCUUCACGCCACAAAAGCUUUAAAUAAUGGAAAAGUUAAUGGAAGACUAGACGUGAGUAAUGAAAUGUCAACAACGAAUGACUAAUGAGACAACCCCUUUUUUUUUGGCACGCUUUUAGCUGUUCGAAACAUUCGUGAAAUGAAGACAUUAUUAAUAAGGUUAGAGUGGAAUCAACCGUGAAAUUAUUGAUCGUUUAUCUUUGCAUUUAAUUAAAGUUUGUCCGUCGAACUGAACAAAGACGAAACAUUUUCAGAGAUUGCAUCUCGUUCACCAAUGCGUGACUUCUUUUCCGUCUUGAAAAAUGGAUCUGCCCUCGGUUCACCAUUAGAGAAUACCGUUGAGGAAAGAAGACAUUAAUAGGAACCCACCAACUCAAUAUUUGAAUAGCCAUCAACCAAAAUUCCAAUUCGAGAGUUCACAAGGAAGUCACGACAAAUUCAGCAGAAAAAAAAAAAGGAAAACUUUUAAAGUAAAAAGGGACAGAAAUUCUUUGAAUUCGUUCCAUGCAUAUAUUUAAAAAAAAAAAAAGAAACUUUGUCAGGGGAUCUCCGUCUGGUUGGUUUGGGAUAGAUAUCGAUGAAUGAAUUUGGAUAGCUGUCACGUCCGGUCAGCAUAGAAAGCAUUCACGCUGCUGAUCGGAAUGCAAAAGAAAAAAAGAGGACAAGUAUUGGGAAAAAAGAAAACAUCAAAUUACAUGUCGAAAUACGAUGAGAUGGCAAAUUCAAGAAUAUCAUGGGCGGUUUUGUAUGCAUGCGAUAUAUUUACGCGAAAUGUAAUCUAGUUUUGCCGAAGAAUUUGUAAGCAAAAAACAGUGCUGCGUAACGAAUUCCAUUGCGAAAAUGCGCUAUAGAGUUACACAGUGAGCAACGUUGCAAUUGAAACUAAAGAGAAAGUUCAAAAGCCAAAUAAAAAGGUGACUUGUUGCAGUCGAGAUGACUUCAAGUUGAAAAGGCGUCAACCACACCGUAAAACGUUGUUUAGUGUAACAUACCAAUUCGACCUUUCCAUCCGUUACGUAACUGUAGACAAGCUGGUGAUCUUUUCCGCAUGCGCGACAAUUGCUUCGCUUCACUCGUCACACAAACAAAGUGUUACACAGCUCAACGUCAUGAUGGAUAUAAAUCAUAUCAUUUGUCUGCAAUUGUAAAAGUGAUGACGUCUGUUACUGUCAAACGUAAAUUUCAAUUAAAAAGAUAAGAAAAGAAAUGUUUUGAAUUUUCAGGACAUUAUGCAAAAAUCGUGACAUUUAGGAUGAAACAGGAGACACUUUUAUAUAAUCUCAAGUGUGUAACUCAUGGGUCAUGAAGUGGAGAGAGGUCCUCGACACACUGACAGACAGAUCAAAUAGUCACGAUCGAUGUCUGUUGUAAAGGUUUAAACCACCACGGCACUUCCUUCCUCUUCAAAAGAUUAUUUUCCCCUUGUCAAAUCUCAGUAACUACCUGCAUUGGAUGGGGAAAACUCGCGUGACUCUGCUUAGUAAAAAGAAGCGUGAGUUUAUAAUAAUUCCAUGAACUAGAGGGGUAUGAACUUGUAUAAGAUAUUUAUGAAGAGGAUGGCGUCCGGCUUCCGUAGACGGAUGAAAAUCACGUACACACAUGUACUAUUUAGAACGCCCUUUUUUCAUUCAAAGGUUUCCAAUCCAUCGCUGCUUCCCACCCCACUUGAUCGAUCGUGUACCUUCAUAACCUUUUUGCCUUGUACCCCUUGUCUUCUUUCUAUGUAUCUGUGAGAUAUUACAUUUUCAUACGAUAUAUGCCCGGCAACGGAGAAGGCACAUUAUGCACACUAAAAGAAAAGAAAAAAGAUUAUGUUUCACAUUAUUUCGUUCCAUCCAUGUGUUAGCUUAUUCUACUGUUGUGAUUUAAUAUCUAUUUAAAAGAGCAUCCAUUGGAUUUAUAAUAGCCCAUUUGAUACUUUUGAUUGGAUGGGGAGAAAAAUGACACAUGUAGGAGUAUCUUGGCCUGGUGGUCUAAAUCAAAACUUCCUUAGCCUUGAGGGGGUAGAAAAAGGAGAGAUCAAAUGAAUCCAUACAUUUUAAUUGCAUUUGACCUCCAUCGUACCUGGUCUAUUUGUAUUCGUAUUUUUUCGAAUGACACAACAUGCUGAAACCUUGUAAAAAUGGCACGUUUUACAUAUUUGGGAAAAGAAGAAAAUUCAGCCAAUUGAGCUGUUAAAAAUAUGCCCGUGCCACGAGAACAAAUUAGCGUGGAAAAAAGAAAUCAAAGCUGUCGUUUUGUCAGAAACCUUUCAAGUGGAAAACAUGGCCACCUUUUUCUGCCCACCCCUCCUUUGAAAUUGUAUCGUUCCCUUUCUCCUCAAUUAAAGAUGAUGACACGAGUACAGAAAAAAAGUGGGAAGGGACUAGAAGCAACAACAAAAAAAUUGCUUCGUGUCUCAUUUCAUGGCCGCCAUUUUAUUGAAGAGUAAGGGAAUGUCUUUUUUAGUCCUAAAAAAAAAACGUGUCUGACCUUGUUUGAACUCGUCUGACCUCGCUGUUGGGACUACUUGUUGCUUUAUAUGCAUACAUUUUGUCGCCAUCGUUGUCUCUCACCUGAGAUCCACCACCACCCCCGGGAGACUCGUCUAUUUGAUUGAUUCCUACCUGGCGCCCCCGUUCCCUCCCCCAAGGUCGACACGGACUCUUUAGCUGUCUGCAAUAUAAUACCUACCUGGCCGCCACCAGCGCACAUGUAUGGAGUGUGUUUGAUAAAGUCAUUCAAAAUUCUUUAAUUCCCGUGUAUGACUAUCUAAAAGGGGAAGAAAGAGGAGAGCUUAUCGGUAUAAGUAUGUGGGAGGGUGAGGAAAAGAA